GCUCCGGUAGAAAAGCCGUUAAGACGGUCUUUACCGAAUAUAGCCCGGUCAAGUAUUCCGGCCUUUCGAGCCGAAGACGCGGGUCCGAAUCCCGCCCGGAGCA
rnacentral:tRNA from 1 species